CCGACAGAUGAGACUCAUCAGCCAUAGGACAGGCAUACAUCAUAUGCAUUUGUUUGCUUUGUUUGAGUGUGCAUUGUCUUAGCUUACUUAACUAUUAAAUUCUACUUAUCUGCUACUUGUUCUACUUGUUGUAAAUGCUUCUCUAUUUGUGUUUUUCUUGUCUGUAAUGUUGGUCUAUGCAACUAAGAGGCCCCUUGUCUGGCGGAGGAAUGACGAGGGUUGUUCCACCAGAGAUUCGGAGAACUGGAGGAGUCAGAAAGUGAAGUAUUAAGUUAAAGUUCAGAUUCAGAACUAGAAUACCUCAGAUAACUUACCUAACUUUUGGAUGCAGGUCAAGAGACACCUCGUUGAGCGUCUGGGUAUUCUCCUUACAAGCGAAGAACUACCUUUUUGACUGUCAUAUUUUGAUUUUGGGCUAUGUAUACAUGUUUAUAGAAUCUCCACAUGUACAUUUUGUGUUUUGUCCCUCCUAGAGGUCGACUUGGAGAUACAGGGGUUUACUUUGUGGUUUGACUUUUAUUUUGGGUUGUAUAUAUAUAAUCAUAUACUCUGGCCGGCCUUAGCUUCGCAGGUCGAGUCUGGAGCUUGCUAUCUAAGUUUUGGAACUCUGAUAUGUAUAUAUGUUUUCAGCUUC